CCUACGGGUGUCAGCAGUGGGGAAUAUUGGGCAAUGGUCGCAAGCCUGACCCAGCAACGCCGCGUGAAGGAAGAAGGCUUUCGGGUUGUAAACUUCUUUUCUCAGGGACGAAGCAAGUGACGGUACCUGAGGAAUAAGCCACGGCUAACGGCGUGCCAGCAGCCGCGUUAAUACGUAGGUGGCAAGCGUUAUCCGGAUUUACUGGGUGUAAAGGGCGUGUAGGCGGGACUGCAAGUCAGAUGUGAAAACCAUGGGCUCAACCUAUGGCCUGCAUUUGACACUGUAGUUCUUGAGUACUGGAGAGGCAGACGGAAUUCCUAGUGUAGCGGUGAAAUGCGUAGAUAUUAGGAGGAACACCAGUGGCGAAGGCGGUCUGCUGGACAGCAACUGACGCUGAGGCGCGAAAGCGUGGGGAGCAAACAGGAUUAGAUACCCGGGUAGUC
rnacentral:rRNA from 1 species